UAAAUUGUUAAACUGGCAACUGUGCUGCAUUAGUCAGACGAUUUAAUAAAAAGAAACACAUUUUUGAACAUGUGUUUAUUAGCAGUCUGCAGUCUAGUCAGUUUAGAUUGGAAUCUUGAAGUCUUGAACAGUUUUAAUCUGAUUUAAUCGAGGAAAACAGAAUGAAGAGACUAGAUGUUCUUCAAAUCUUGGCAGAAAGGAAUGAAAGAAGAAAACGCGAACUGGAGCUCAAUGGUUUACCGUCAGAAAGCAAAUAAUUCUUUGCCCAUAACCCCAAUUUUUUCAAGGCAGACUCCAUCCUCGUUGAAUCAUCAUCCCAGAGUGCUUCGUCAAAAAGUAGUAGACAGGAAGAAUUAAAUCGUGCUACAGUUCUGGAUAAUUUUGAUGAUACACAAGUUUAUCUUUUUUAUUCAAAAUGUAAAUUCUCAAUUGAUUGAUUGUUUUAUCUUAUUAUCAUCUUCAUUCAUUCCCUUAGGCGAAGUAAACUAUUCUUGGCUUGAUAAAGAUCUAGGUAUUAAAGAUGUUCCAAGAUGUCUUCUUCAGAUUUGGUGAACUAUUUGCGGUCAGAAAUAAAGGGCAAUAAAUUACAACGAUCAUUGUUAACCUGCAAAUUAUCAUGUAGGAGAUAUUUGUUCUUUCUAAUGUCAGUGACAACAAGCAAAGAUGU